rnacentral:rRNA from 1 species
AGAAUGAACGCUGGCGGCGUGCUUAACACAUGCAAGUCGAACGGAAUCCAAGGAGCUUGCUCUGGAAGAUUUAGUGGCGAACGGGUGAGUAUCACGUGAGCAACCUGCCCCGAAGACUGGGAUAACACCGGGAAACCGGUGCUAAUACCGGAUACCUUCCAAUGACCGCAUGGUCGAUGGAAGAAAUGUUUUUCGCUUCGGGAGGGGCUCGCGGUCCAUCAGCUUGUUGGCGGGGUAAUGGCCCACCAAGGCAGUGAUCGGUAUCCGGCCUGAGAGGGGCGCGACGGACGACGACUGGAACUGAAACACGGUCCAGACUCCUACGGGAGGCAGCAGUGGGGAAUUUUGCGCAAUGGGGGAAACCCUGACGCAGCAACGCCGCGUGGAGGAUGAAGUCCCUUGGGACGUAAACUCUUUCGAUCGGGACGAUAAUGACGGUACCGGAAGAAGAAGCCCGGCUAACUUCGUGCCAGCAGCCUC